rnacentral:rRNA from 1 species
UACGGAGGGAGCUAGCGUUGUCCGGAAUCAUUGGGCGUAAAGCGCGUGUAGGCGGCUUAGUAAGUCUGCUCUGAAAGCCCGGGGCUCAACCCUGGGAGGCGGGUGGAUACUGCUGAGCUUGAGUCCGGAAGAGGCGAGUGGAAUUCCUGGUGUAGCGGUGAAAUGCGCAGAUAUCAGGAGGAACACCAAUGGCGAAGGCAGCUCGCUGGGACGGUACUGACGCUGAGACGCGAAAGCGUGGGGAGCGAACAGG